AAAUAUGGUUGAUAUCAAUAUGCUAUAUUUUAAAAGUUGUGAGAUAGUAUACUUUAAGUGCUCUCAAAACUAGAGAAAGUAAAAACUCAGUGUGCAAAAGUGGUAUGUCAAGAAAACUGUAUUUGUACAUAUAGUUUGAAAUCGGUGCAGUGCAGGCUGAGCAUCCUUAAAACAAUGAUCCAAAACAUCCUAAAAGUGAUGAUACUUCAGUUAGACAGAUGUUGAAAAGCACAGCCCAGAGCCACUGACCUCUGCAUGAAACAUAGGUCCUCAAAAGAAAACAGAAGCAGGAAUUUUCUCAAACUAAGAAGUUCCAGGUGUUUCUUAAUCACUCACUCAUGGAUAAAGCAUAUUCAUAAGUCAAUGUUGCUGUUUGGUUUAAUUUUGUUAUCAAAACUUAGCAGCUUUGGUAACAAAUGAAUGAUGCUCGCCUGCUUAGUUGUCAACCUUACAUUUUCAAGGGACAGUGUUUACCCAACAGCUGUCAUUUGAAAAUCCUGUAAUGUUCUUUUAUGAGAGGGAAAGAGCAGUCGUGCACUUUCAACCAAGUCCAAGUCAACCCAUUGGACUUGGGCUCAGCUGGAAUGAGUUGGAGACAAUUGUUCUUACUAUAUGAAUGACAAGUAUAUGUGCUGUCGAUCAAUCACGAUUACUCUGACAGAUUCUGCCUGUACCAUACUCUUGAUGCCUGUCAGGUGACACUGGAAGCACUUUCUGAGAGGAAUGGACCCAGUGUCAUUUCCAGGACAGUGACUACAGUGGCUGUGAACACAGAACAGUGGAGCUUUUGCUGCCAUAGCUUCCAUCUCCACAGUGAAGGAAAACUUUCAGGAAUGGCUGGCUAAUGUUCCCAAAGAUGACCUAAGUGGUCACCUCUAGGCUUUGUUAAUGACUGGUAUUCUCAGCUAAGAUGUAUACUAUCUGUCUUCCUCCCUAAGCAUAGAAAUGUAGGUUGGUCAAAGUCAAACAAGUGUCAAAGCCCAAGUCAGCACCAAAACAUUCUCUAUAAUGCAUCUAUCUGACUAAAAGUCCCCAAGAGUGCCUGGCCUGUCUCUUCUUCCCUCUCUGGUAUUUAUUAGUACAGUGGUUUAGGUUGUUUUCAGAAUGUGGUCUCAAAGUGAGGAAGGCGUUGACAAUGCUAGGAUUAUGUGACCCUUCUAGCAAACACAUGAAGACUAAUCUUUGAACUAUAGAAUUUUAGAAUGAAAGCAGAUUGUCAAGACUCAUCCACUCCCAUUAUUUUACCAAAAAGAAACAUGGGCCAAAAAAUGCAAGACUUUCCCACAUCUGCCUAAUCAAACAAAGGAGAGGAGGUGGAUUCCUAGUAGCCCCACUGCAUCCCUUUUCCAUGAGAGGUGAUGGUCUGUUACUAAAAGUGUUCAUCCAUUCAUACAAAUCUCAGAAAAUUUGCAAGCUAUAGGUGCCAUCCAAACAUUUAUUUUUUAUAGACAUGACAACAAGCAUUUGAUCCCAUCUUUCCAUUCAUUCUUUAUCUGCACUGACAGUGCAGUACCUAGCUGACUAUAAGUCUUCAGGUCCCAGUAAAAUUACCAUUUCAGUGAUUACAAAGUAACUUUCUCUCAAACAUGAGAAAGUUUCUUCUGCACAAAUAAAUAAAUGAACAUCAAUGCCACCCUGUGUAACAGAUGCAGAAAUACAUUGUCAUUGUCUUCCCAGGGAAAUUUUUAUCUUAUUGAUACAGAAGGAAAACAAAAUUGCUAUCUGAAAGCAAAUCUAGCUAAAGAAUCAUUCCUUCCAGAAACAGAACAAUUUUUAAUAAAAGCAUACAUACUAACUGCUUGCUCAUGGGUUCUCCAUAUGAAAUAGCUCACUAAUGCAAAUAUCAAUCUUCAUAUGAUCACUAAGCAGAUGGAAAUUUUCAAAAAAAUCAUUAUUUUUUAAUAAUAAUGUCAGAAGAAAUUAGAAAGGUGUUCUGUUAGCUUCCAGGUGGCUACUUCAGCCAGGGUGCAUGCAGUCUCCAGACACAAUUGGUAGGCACAUGGAUCAGGCUUGCGUUCUGACAACACACCCAGGCAAGGGGCAUUGUUCACACUCUUUGUGAAAUAAGACUUCCCUUGCACCGAACUUCAGGCACAAAAUAAGAUUUAUUGAAACCCCUAAUGUCCCCCUGGUGGCUCAUGAAGUAUGAGGCUCUUGGUUACAGUUCUGUCUCUGCCAUUUUGGACAAGACAUUUAACUUCGGGUUUAUUUUUAUUGCUUUUUGAAGUCGCUUUGUCUGUAGCAUGGAAAAAAUAUUGCUAACAUUUUUCAAAUAAUUUUUGUGUGAAUAAAAUUUGACAAUAGUUAUGAAAGUACUCUAUAACACAUAGAACACAAAACUGUCCACUUUGAGCCUCUAAAUCCAAAUGGAAGAGGUAUUAAUUGGCAAAACCUACAUAAAAUAAUUCUAAUUGGAAGCAGGAGCCCUCCACACAUGUCAUACCUUUAAUUUAACAACACCACCUCUGUGAAUUUGCUCUAGGGAAAUAACUAGUAGUGUGAUAAGAAAUGCACACACACGAUCCUCAAGAACAAACUAUUGAUAAUAAAUGCAAAAGCAAAGAAGCCAGUGGAUAAGCCAGUUAACAACAUAAAUUAACACAGAAAAAGAUCGGUUAAAUCCAGCUAAUCUAUUGUUAUGUCUUUAAAAUUUUAUUAUACUAAAAAGUGAAUAUAAUAAUAAGUGGAGAAGCAGAAAAGAAAACCAUGUACAUUUAAGGUAAUAUCACACAAACACUACAGUUAUAAGUAGGUAUAUGAAUGAUUAUGAAAGCUGAGGCAAGGUCUACCUAAUCACCCUAGGGACUAGAAUUUGGGGUAAUUUUCAUCUCCUUUGUACUUUUCUGUCUUGCUUUCCACUAUUUACUUUCCUUGUUCAAGUUAGAAUAAUUAAAUUGGUAGUGAAAGGCAAUGAUGAUCAAGCCUCCACAGGCAUCAUCUGCAGGCACACUCAGAACUACCAUGAACAGAGGCUAACCAACCACGAGGCCCUGUACCAACUGUUUUUAUACACACUGUGGGGUAACUCUUGCAAUUUCUAUGGUCAGACAGAGAAAAACACAUCUCAUCUUAAAUAUUUUGUCCAAAGACAUAAACUGUUUAAUUGUAAACACAUCAUUGAUACUCUGAUCAGUAUGAUUUCAUAGCACAUAUGUGUAAUUGCUAUCUCUCCUCAAAUACUAAAAUAUUAAAGUGUAACUAACACAUUCCUUUCAAUUCCAAAGAAUGAAAACAAUGUAUGGAGGAGAUUAUAUAAUCCUUUUCUCCACACCCGGUGGUCAUAUAGAUAAAAUAUACAAAUAACUCACAUACUGUAUACAUCUGUAUUUAUAAAAUAAUAUGUAAAUGCAUUCUCUAGUUAGUUCCAAUAUAUAAUACAGUAUAUUAUGUGUACUAGAUUUAAUGUAUUGUGCAUUUUAUAAAGAUUAUGCUGAAUAUAGGUACAUAUUUAUACCACACUCUUAUGAUGGUGUUUGAUUAUGCUGAAUAUAGGUACAUAUUUAUACCACACACUAUGAUGGUGUUUUGUCUUCAUAUGUAUUCUGUAAAAUGUAGAAAGGUGUCACAGUUAUUACACUGAAAGUAUGGAUGUUACAAUCAGGCAGAUAGAAACCUUAAGGCUGACUGUCUCAUUUGGGGUAGGGGGUAAGACUGAGUGAGUUGCUUUACCUCACUCUGAAAAGCUUCAGUGAUUGUGGUAACAAGAGUUAUAAGGCUCGAUCUUUAUGAGUGCAAAUUACUAAAUGAAACAAUGUUUAUUUCAGAAACAAACAGAUGCAGCAGUACUGAGAACACUUGUUGAGAACGAUUUCUGCAUCCCUUUCUGGUUGAAGAUUUUCAUACCUCUACCCUGCUUCUAUUGUGAUACAUGCACUGUCACGGUCCCAUGCAGAGUAUUCUGUAUCUCCCUACAUUGCUCCAAAACUCAGUGGUAACUAGAAAAGGUAGGGUGGGGAAUGAUAGUAUGACCCUAUGUGACUGACACCUAUUCCAUCUCUGAACUGUGGUUUGGGUCUCAAAUGAUGGACAGUAAGGGGAUCAGGUGAAAUUAUAGUCAAGGCAUACAGUCAGUGUUAUAAAGAGUUAGUACGAACCUGAGAGCUUAUGAGAGGCUGAGAAUGCUUCCAGUAUUGGUGCUGUAACCUCUGAGAGCUGGAGAAGAACCAGGUGGCAUGUGCCACCUCCAAGACUGUUCACUGGAGUUGAAAAGGCAGCUACUAAGCUCAGGUCCAUAGCAACCCACUUUUCUCCACCCAUUUCUACAGGACCCUUGUGCUGUGGAUGUACUGUAAAGUUACCAGAUGCCACAGUGGAGAAGCAGAGUCCAAAUUCUAAGGCCCAUUUUACCAACAAGUCAUUUCCAUAGCACUACCAUGGAGCCAUUAUUCCAAGGAACCCAGUGCCUUAAAAAUGUAGAUGAGUGAGUUUAAUUAUUUAGGGACCAGAAGGAAACAGAGAGAGAGAGAGAGAGAGAGAGAGAGAGAGAGAGAGAGAGAGAGAGAGAGGAUAGAAUCACAUAACUUGAAGAAUGUGUUCUCCAUUAGUAUAUGCUCAAGGUUUGUGAUAGGAAGCUCAUGUACCUAGCAACAUGUGUACCUAGCACAAACGAGUAAAUAGUCUAUAGAAGUAAGUGCUUUGGGAUAAAUAAGAUUUAUCUCUAUGAGAUUUUUAUUUUACUUAUUAUUUGUGUGUGUGCAUGCAGGUAUGUGAAUGCCACAGUGCACAAGUGAAUGUCAAAAGACAAAGUGCAGGAGUUAGACCUUAUCUUCCACUAAGGUUUGAAUUCAGGUCUCAGUCCUCUGACAGGCAUCUUUAGCCAUCCAGCUGUCUUAUCAGCUCAGGACUUUCUAAGCCAUUAUUUUCAGGAACAUUUUACUAAGUUAUGCAUAUUUUCUGUUUAAAUUCUUUAAUAGGAUGGAGAACAUAUAAGUAACAUACCUCAUGUUUUACAGAGAGUAAGUGCGAUAAAUUAUUUGCUCUUAAUUCAGAGAGCUCAUCCUAUGGCUGCAGGGAAUGUCCACAUCCUCACUCAGUCACAUUGCAUCUGGUCCUUUGUCUUUGAACUUUCCAACUUUGGUCAGGGACUCACCUAGGGUAAUUAAAUAAAUAAAAGUGUUUACUUAUUUUAAAUUUUCUUUUAUCACCUCCCUAUUCGGGCAUGAGUUCUGACCAACUCUGGCUUAUCUCUUGUUUGUUUUCAUCAGUGGUUGGUCUUUCCCAAUAACACAUCUGCUUCUUUUCUCAAAUGAGGGUUUAGCUCCUGAGCACACACAGAACAAUCUCAGCAAAAACUUAAGAGGCUGGCUGCACACUCAGUGUGGCUUUUUUUUCCAUGUUUACAAACAAACUUGUUCAUAGAUUCUCAACCACUCUGCAGAUGUUUCUAAAAAGUUACAUGACUGGCAAAUUAAGAGUAAGAUUCCAGUGAUGAAGAAACAAGAAAAUAAACAACCAGGAAGUGAAGGAAAAAGCUUGUAGAUUCAAGAUAAACACCAGCCAACCACAAGCCAGAGGGUGCCCCGGGGCAGCAAGGCAGGGAGGCCAGAGAGAAGGGGCAGCUAAAGGGAAAGAGAGAGUUCCAUGUGCUUGUGGUCGAUUAAGAGCCCAUGCUCUGACCUCACCUACAGGUGUGGUCAGGCACACCUGUAGCCAGCCCUUAGGAGGUGUGGUUACGGUGUCUCCCUACAAGGAAGUGCAUAGUAGAAUCGGGAAAGCACAGUUGAUGAGCACUGAGCCCUGGGUGAGUCCUGCCCUGUCAAAUGCAUUAGAAAGCUAUUGUGUAAAGAAGCAGCAGCAACAGUGUUAAGCUGGAUUUAGUGAGCAGGUGGUUUAGAUUUCAUCCUCUGAGAGCAUCUCCCCGCAUGCUGUCAUUCUACCCUUACCUACACUCACAAAGAGACAGCUUGUGGCAUGGCUCUACCUAUCAUGCAUCUCUUCAUACACUGAUCACCUACUAAAGUUUAACCCAUUUUCAGUUAACAACUAUUAACUCAAAACACAGCUCUCAUCUCAAUGAGAGUAGGAUUAUUUAUUCUGAAGCUAAAUAUGAGUGAUCACAGCCUAGGAAAUAGAUUCAAGUUAUUCCAAAUAGCAUGUUCCAACAUGGAAACAGGAAAUUUUUAUAACUAUGUUUCAAAUACAUUAGGGGGAACAUGGGGUGGAACAUCCCACAGCAUGGGAAAUUAUGUAUGUGGCUCAGGUUUCAGAUGCUACCUGAUAACAUACUUACCUGUAGGGUUGGUAGAAGCCAGAUGUCUAUUAAUACAUCCCAGAAGAUCUCGUGUGAUAGUUACCAUCCAGAUGUUACAUCAGACAUGGAGGUAGGCAAUGGAUGGCUAUUUAGAGGACCAAAACAUAAGAUAAUCAGAGGCCUGCAACAUUCCAACUCUCCAAAGCCACGGAGCUCUAAUCAGUCAACCAGUCUUGUAAACUCUCACACAGUUGUGGUUUUGUUCCUGAGAACUCACAGUCUGAAAAAGAAAAUCUUUUCUAAACACUUAUAUUUGAUAUGACUAAUUUUAUUAAUUAACUUGAAUUACUUGAUACUGGAAAAUAAUGCAGAUCUUGACAUUCUAGAGUCAGGAAGCCACAAAGCCAUUUAGUUAGCAGGGAAAAUGAAGCCCUGCCCAAAAGGGGCAGUCACAAACUUGUGCCCUCAGACACACUGUCAUUUAUUGCUAAAUUAUGUCUUGCUGCCUAGGCAAGAGAACUGUUCAAAAACAUGGUAAAAAGAUUUUAUUAUUUUUUUGUCUGUGUGUCUUUAAUCUUUAUAUUCAACAGCCUAUGAUUUCUUUAAAAACAAAACAAAAAAAAAAACAACAGCAAAAACAAACCAUGGGAAAAACCAUACUGGCAUUUAUGUUCAUUCAGCGGUACUCUGCAAAGAGAAAAAGAACAUGUCACUUUCCCCAAAAGAUACAGCUACCUGUUUCCACUGCUCAGGUCUCCUUCCUCAGGGCAGGGAGUGGAGCAGAGGGGAGAGGAGGGAAGGAGAGGGGAGAGGUGGGAGUCUAAGGUAGAGCAGCAUUGAGGUCUGUCUGUCACUGGCUGACUGCAGCUGCAGUGCACAGCCCAGUAAGAGUGUGGAGCCCACAUUCAGCGCUUCACUGGAAGCCUGCAAGUCCUUCCUAGAGUCCAUGAACUCAGCAGGAGAACCCAACAGAAUCAGAGCUUGAGUUUUUGCUGUGUCCAGAUGCAGAGGGUCUGUGCAUUCAAAACAUGGCUGGUCCACAGGACAUGCUGGAAGUAUAGAAAAAAAUGUUGGUUCUACUGGGCUAAGCCACAUAUUUCACUAAUGCUUUUAACAAUCACAGUAAAGCAUUCUGAGAAAUGCAAUAGCAUAGGAAACUACUGGUUAAGUAGUUUCUAAUAAGAGAAGUUUUGCCCAAAGUGGAAACGAUGAAAAUAGCAGAGGGGCCCCGGCUUUUAGUUCAUGGUCAUGGAAGCAGGGGCAGAAGACGAGUAAGAAGAGAAGGGGCAUGUUAAGGGUAGUGGGGUGUCGAGAAGGAUGUAUAGGGAUAUAUGCAUAUUAAAAAUGUCAUAGUGAAACUAAUUACUUUGUUUUGACAACCAAGUAAUAGUAGUAUAGUAGUAAACAAUGAUAGUUUUAAAACAAAACAAGCCUAACAUUCCCUAAACACUUUAGCGCCUUCAGUGUGUAUGGCUGAGAGUACAACAGGUAUGCAGAUGAGGUGUUUCUCAUUUUCUCAGCCAGUUAAAAAAUAACAGCUUAGCCUUUCCAAAAAGAGUGCCUGUCUCGGACUCUUAUUAGUUGACUUAAAACAAGAAAGCAAUUUACAGUGUUGAAAAUAAAUGUAGAAAACAAUUGUCCUGUCAUCACAGCUUGCUCAGCCCAUCAGAGCCUUCUGACUGGUAUUAUGCUGGAAGUGUGCCUUAGAUAAUAUCUGAUUAAUGUAGUUCUUUUUAUUGAAGCACAGAGCGCUGAUUAUAAUAUACAGAUUUCCAAGCCACCUAGGUAAUUACAGGCCUUAACAGCAAACUUGGUGCUUUAUCCUCGCCAAAGGAAGUUUCAUUAUCCCUGUAUUAUCUUGCACACAGAAAGAAUUUCCUGAAGGUGACCUUUUUAUAGGUGGUAACCAUGGUAACAGAUUUCCAGCCGCUAACACUCUGACACUACUGGUGCACUGCAAAUGUUGGAGGGAUGUUACGGAUUGAUGUUUUGGGUUGCCCUCGAGAGACACAGCUGCAUAAAUGCUUACCAAUUUGUGAGGAAAAUUUUAAAAGAAAUUUAAAACCACGGUUUCUGUUCCCUUGUUAAUCAGAAAGAUGAUUUUUUUCCUAAGAUCUUGUUAAUAUACACAGGGACUGUGAGAGUAAAAAUAAAAGAUUGAAGAGAAAAUUUAUUCCUUACAUUAUUUUUAAAUAGGACAUUCAAUGCAUCAGGUAGUGAGAGACAAGCACCCCUUUGGGUCGAUUCUUUGCUUGAAAGUACUGCUGGAGCCCUGAGGAGCUGUAAAGGGUGAAUCUGCUCAUCAACAGGCUUGGUGGUGCAAUUCUAAGAAACUGUAGCUUCAGCACUUAAUUCCAAAAGAAUUAGGAAACUUUCUAGGUAAGUAGCAAAGUUGGAAGGCAGAUCUGCCAAUUCAACCGCAUCCAAGACAUCAAAAAGAAGCCUGUUUUGUUUACUAAUGAAAGACAGAAAGCGAGUGGAUCUGGAUGAGAGGAUUUCAGGAAGGCACUUCAUUGCUGAAGCAAACCAUCCAAGGAAAAGAAAAACUCACUAGUAGCUGAAACAUCCCCAAGUGGACAUGGAUUUCACAGGCCAAUGAAGAUUAACCAGUCAUCAUUAAUACUCUGCUUAAAAACACUGCCUCAUAGUCGUGGAUACAAGUAGACAUUUUCCAGAGUGUGGUGAAAACUUUGUUUUUCUAUAAUGCACGUGUGUGUGUGUGUGUGUGUGUGUGUGUGUGUGUGUGUGUGUAUGUGUGUGUGUGAUUGUAUGUAUAUAUUACAUGUGCUAGUACCCUCACAUAGAUGUAAACCAGAAGAUAGCCUCAGCUGUCAUCUUCAGGAACACUGUCCAUCUCCUUGGAGAAAAGGUCUCCUGCUGGACUAGAACUGAUCAAUUAGGCUAGACUGACCGGCCAGUGAACUCCAGAGAACCUCCUGUCUCCACCUCCUUCAUACUGGGAUUAUAAGAGGAUACCAAAUCACCAUGCCAGGCUUUUAAAAUCUGGGUUCUGGACUGAAUUUAGGUCCUUAAGGUUGCAAGACAACAUUUGCCAACUGAAACACCUCCUCAAACCUUGACUAUAUCUGGAAUGAACUAUAAUCCAGAAAUGGAGGACACAAUUGUGAUCCAGAUAUUGAGGCAAGAAGACAACAUGCCUUUAAUCCAGACCUUGAGGCUGGAAUGCACACCUUUAAUCUGGGCCACACCUUCUGCUAGAAGCCUAUAUAAGAACAACAGAAAUGACCAGAAACCCACAAUGAUGACUCCCAACUAAAAAUCUAAGCAGUAGUGGAGAGGCUACCUUAAAUGCCCUUUCCCUAUAAUGAUAUUGAUGACUACCUUAAAUGCCAUCUUAGAGUCUUCAUCCAGUAGCUGAUGGGAGCAG